rnacentral:rRNA from 1 species
UACGUAGGGCGCAAGCGUUGUCCGGAAUUAUUGGGCGUAAAGGGCGCGUAGGCGGCUCUGCACGUUCGUUGUGAAAUCGCCCGGCUCAACUGGGCGGGGUCAGCGGAUACGGCAGAGCUUGAGCAAGCUAGGGGGCAAUGGAAUUCCCGGUGUAGUGGUGGAAUGCGUAGAUAUCGGGAGGAACACCAGUGGCGAAGGCGGUUGCCUGGGGCUUUGCUGACGCUGAUGCGCGAAAGCGUGGGGAGCGAUCCGG